GCCCAUUUGAUGGACAAACCAUGAAAUGUGAAUCAAUUCAAAAGGGGAAAGUGUAAACAACUGAGAGCACAAAAUAGAGAAACAAUGAAGUUCACUGAUUCACCCGUAAUCGAUCUUCAAGUCCUUAAUUCUCAAUUAUCAUUCCACCAAGACAAUGGAUCAAUGCACGUUGGAACCAGUGUUUGGCCUUGUUCACUUGUCCUCGUCAAGUUCAUCGAACGUUGGCAUCCUCUAACAUGCGCGGUUACACCAAAUCUCUAUUCCGACAUCCUUAACUUCCACAACAAACGUGGCAUCGAACUCGGUGCGGGUUGCGGUGUAGCAUCAAUGGGCCUUUUCUUAUUGGGCCUAAACAACAUCGUUAUAACAGACAUCCCUCCUGUUAUGCCGGCUUUAAAACACAAUCUCAAAAAGAACAAACCCAUUCUGAACAAGAGUUUGAAAACGGCUCAGUUGAAUUGGUCUAAUAAAGAUCAGAUAAAGUCGUUGGGCCCACCGUUUGAUGUUGUUAUUGCUGCUGACGUGGUGUAUUUGGAGGAGACUGUGGGUCCGUUGUUAACGGCUAUGGAUGAUUUGGUUGAUGAAAAUGGUGUUGUUUUGUUGGGGUACCAGUUGAGAUCACCUGAAGCGCAUACGAUGUUUUGGGAGCUUUGUGGGGAGAUGUUUGAUGUUGAGAAGGUUCCACAUGAGCAUUUACAUCAAGAGUAUGCGUAUGAGGAGACCGAUGUUUAUAUCUUCAGGAAGAAGAAGAAGAAAUUGUAGGAAUUGUGUUGUCUUGACAGGUUUCACUAAAGGUUCUUUCUCCUUUAAUCAGAGAGGUUUCUCCCACUUGAAUCUCUUAAUUGUUAGUGAUGUAUCCUAAUUCUCUGCCCAAGUUAAGAGUUUCGUCCAGUCUGUACAAAAAGAUACGUUUGCCCAGGGCAAUUGCUUGGGCAUCAUCCCAUCUGCAUGAAGGAUACGUGUGCUCAGCAAGGCAAUUGACUGUAAACUUACAUUGUGUUUGAGAAAGGAGACUAGCAAGUGUCGAACUGCAGAACACCAGGCAGGGAUGAUCGUCUCAGCCAUCGCUGCCGGCUUAGUGGCUUCACGAUGAAAAAAUGUUCGCAUGCAUAUCAUUAUAGUUGAAGACCUAUAUAUGUAUUUUGUGAGAUGGCUGUUCUGCUGAAACAAUAAUGGGAUAGACGGUGAUGUGAUGGACUUAAUAAUAUUCUGAUGCCAAAGGAAACUAAGUACAAUCGUCAACUGUGUAAUAUUUUGCUCUUACAACACCCUGCACAUAUCAUAUUUAUGUGUGAAUACUUGUUCCAGAGAUCAGUUUUACACAUUAUGUCAGCAUAACUGGUUCUGAGUGCUA